AUUGAACGCUGGCGGCAUGCCUUACACAUGCAAGUCGAACGGCAGCAUAGAGAGCUUGCUCUCUGAUGGCGAGUGGCGAACGGGUGAGUAAAGCAUCGGAACGUACCGUGUAGUGGGGGAUAACGUAGCGAAAGUUACGCUAAUACCGCAUACGUACUGAGGUAGAAAGCAGGGGAUCGUAAGACCUUGCGCUAUACGAGCGGCCGAUGUCGGAUUAGCUAGUUGGUAGGGUAAAGGCCUACCAAGGCGACGAUCUGUAGCGGGUCUGAGAGGAUGUUCCGCCACACUGGGACUGAGACACGGCCCAGACUCCUACGGGAGGCAGCAGUGGGGAAUUUUGGACAAUGGGGGCAACCCUGAUCCAGCCAUGCCGCGUGAGUGAAGAAGGCCUUCGGGUUGUAAAGCUCUUUCGGCCGGGAAGAAAUCGCACAGGCUAAUACCCUGUGUGGAUGACGGUACCGGCAUAAGAAGCACCGGCUAACUACGUGCCAGCAGCCGCGGUAA
rnacentral:rRNA from 1 species